rnacentral:lncRNA from 1 species
GAUAUUUUAAUAUUUGUUAAAUCCUAAAAUGAUUUUAUUGAAUUGGGUUUUGACAUCUAUUGAUAAUAGGCCUAGUUAAGCAGCAAAGUGUAGGCAAUUGAGUUUAAUUGAAGCCCGUAAUAGAAAGGGUCCAGUUGACACGUUGUUGAUUAGGGUUUGUUAGGUCCUCUUUCUAGCUUAUAAAAUGUAGGUUAUACUAUUGGUUGCUUAAUAUCCCAUUGAAAGCUGUUAUAUUAAAAUAGGCCAUGGAGAAGAAGAUCUGACAUUUCGAUAAAUAUCUGAUUAUCAGAGUAAUCUAUUUUGUGAAGUAAUAGCUCAAAUAGGUACGUUUUAAUUCCGCUAUACUUAUUGAUCUCGGUGUUUUACAAUCAUAUAUGGAUUUGAUUCUUCUUGAUUGAUUAGUUGUUUAUGUGAAUAAUUUUCUACAGUUACACGCAAUUGAGAAUGGACUGGUUGGAGCAAAGUGCUUAGAAAUUAUGAUAAGCAAGUAUAUGGUUCCUACUCCAAGAGGCCCAAUCUGUAGAAGAGUGUUUCAAGUUGAUUUCAUCUGAUGGUCAUGACUCAUGCGC